rnacentral:tRNA from 1 species
UACCGUGUGGUCUAGUAGUUAUGAUUCAUGGUUUUCACCCACGUGACCCGGGUUCUAAUCCCGGCUAGGUAA